GUUCCAGACUCCUACGGGAGGCAGCAGUGAGGAAUAUUGGUCAAUGGGCGGGAGCCUGAACCAGCCAAGUCGCGUGAGGGAAGAAGGUACUGAGUCUUGUAAACCUCUUUUGCCAGGGGACAAAGGCGGCCACGGGUGGCCGUAAGAGGGUACCUGGAGAAAAAGCAUCGGCUAACUCCGUGCCAGCAGCCGCGGUAAUACGGAGGAUCCGAGCGUUAUCCGGAUUUAUUGGGUUUAAAGGGAGCGUAGAUGGGUUGUUAAGUCAGUUGUGAAAGUUUGCGGCUCAACCGUAAAAUUGCAAUUGAUACUGGCAGUCUUGAGUACAGUUGAGGUAGGCGGAAUUCGUGGUGUAGCGGUGAAAUGCUUAGAUAUCACGAAGAACCCCGAUUGCGAAGGCAGCUUACUAAACUGUGACUGACAUUGAUGCUCGAAAGUGUGGGUAUCAAACAGGAUUAGAUACCCCAGUA
rnacentral:rRNA from 1 species